CAGGCAGGAGACCCUGGACCAUUUCAAUCAAAUCAGAAUAGAGCUGGAAGGGACCUUGGAGGUCUUCUAGUCCAACCUCUUGUUCAAGCACGAGACCCUAGGCCAUUUC